rnacentral:tmRNA from 1 species
GGGGGUGCCAUGGAUUCGACUGAGUGUCGUAGGAUAGCAUUGCACGUCGGAGUUGACGGUCGGCUCCGUUAUCAAACCGUUAAAACAAUAAAUGACAAAAACGUCAUCAGGCUUGACUUCAGUAAUGCGGUCAGUGCCGCUGCCUAGUUUAAUGGCAGCACAUCGCCUUGCUUGAUGCUCGAUGGAGCAAACGCGGUGUAAAUUAUCGAGCGUCCGCGUGGCCUUUUGCGGUGUGCCACGUGGAUUAUUUCAGUACCGCGAUAGUCGCUGCGCAAUGUGUCGACGCAUGGCGCAGUGGUGAAACCAAAGCAUCGAACAAACGUGUAGGCGUGCCUUUUGAAAACACGCAGGACGCGGGUUCAAUUCCCGCCACCUCCACCA